CUCUAUAAAUAUCCCCCAAAACCCCUAAAUUUUCCCAUACAAAAGUCAAAGAGGUAACUUUAUCUUUUCUCUAUUCUUUUUCCUUUCUUUUGUUUCUUUCCUCCUUUCUUUUCUUUGGAUUCACGUAGAAGUACUACUACGUACUUCUUUUCUUUUUUUUUUUCUUCUUUUUCUUUCUUUUUCUUUUUCUUUCCUUUUUUUUCCCUUGUUUCCCCUGAUGUUGUGCGUGAGAAUUGGUGAGCAAAUUGCCACCUCAUGCAAGCUUGGUCCCAUGUCAUCAUACCGGCCCACUUUGCUGCCACUUCACCUCGCCGGCGACAACUCCGACCACCCGUACACAUGCCGCCGCCCCGCCGGUCGGCACAACCCACGGAGACUUUAAGUUGAGUAAUUUCAAGCAUUGUGGCUAGUUGAAAAGAUGAUUUAAGUGGGGACAAGUAGAGAAAAGCUUUCAGGUGAUGAAGCAUAUCAAGCAUAAUGGAGUUGAGCAAAGAGGGUUACAUGUUUCUUUAUUUAUUAUUUAUUGUAUUAAAUCAUUUAUGUAAUUGUUAACACUAACAUUAGUUAAUGUUUAUAUUUACUUUGGUUUAAAGGGCCUUUAAUGGUUCCAAGUUAUUAUUUUAGUGUAAGUUGGUUUAAAAAUUUAAGUUGAUUUUAUUAAACUUUAUUUCA